UGGACCAUUCUUGAUACACACGGGUAAAUGUGGAUCGUGAAAAACCCAGCAGCGUUGCAGUUCUUGACACAAACCUUUGGACCUGGCACCUGGCACCCUUUCAAAGGCACUUAAUUAUUUUGUCUUGCCCAGUCACCCUCUGAAUGGCACACACACACAAUCCAUGUCUCAAUUGUCUCGAGGCUUAAACAUCCUCCUUUAAUCUGUCUCCUCCUCUUUAUCGACACUGAAGUGGAUUUAGCAGGUGACAUCAAUAAGGGAUCAUAGCUUUCACCUGGUCAGUUUGUCAGGGAAAUGUUUUGUACACUCAGUGUGUUUUUGCUGUUUUAAGAACAUUCAGAAUUUCUAUUCGACGAUGGGAUCAAGUUCUAUUGUUUUGAUAUUCCAAUUUAGACUUUACUCAAUAUUUUGGUCUGCCCUGUAAUUGAAUUUACUGUAGAAUCAAAGCUGAGGUUUUUGGCUUGUCACACCAUAGAUUGUGCAGAGAUAUAUUUGCUGUCACCUACUUACAGCGCUAUGUGCGUUUUAAUAGAUUAAUUAUAUAAUAUUCUUAAUUUAAUCCUUUUCCCAUUUUUGUGUUUUCAAAAAAAGCAAUACUUCAUCGAGAAAUUAACAUCCUCCUAGCUGAUUUAGAAGACCCCGAGUGUUCAAAUCCUGUUGUGCCUGGUGCAUCACACAGUUGGAGUGUGAGGAAGGAACUCUCACAGGAUAGGUGGAGGGAGUCCAGGCCUGAGAUUGUAGAUUCUCUGCUGGCUGCAGAGCAUGCUUCUCAGAAGAUCUGUCAGUCAUGCAAUGUGAAAAGGGCUAUUCUGCCAUGUAGAGACUGUCUGCCGAAACAGCUUUAUUGCGAAGACUGCGAUGUCUCUACACAUGCAAAGUUCCCCUGCACAACAGACAGUCCAUGAUGGAGGGGUUCUACACGCCCCUUCCUCCAACCACCUCCAUAUCUCUCCACACUGAUGGAGGGGUUCUACACGCCCCUUCCUCCAACCACCUCCAUAUCUCUCCACACUGAUGGAGGGGUUCUACACGCCCCUUCCUCCAACCACCUCCAUAUCUCUCCACACUGAUGGAGGGGUUCUACACGCCCCUUCCUCCAACUACAGCCAUAUCUCUCCACACUGAUGGAGGGGUUCUACACACCCCUUCCUCCAACUACAGCCAUAUCUCUCCACACUGAUGGAGGGGUUCUACACGCCCCUUCCUCCAACCACCUCCAUAUCUCUCCACACUGAUGGAGGGGUUCUACACGCCCCUUCCUCCAACCACCUCCAUAUCUCUCCACACUGAUGGAGCCCCUUCCUCCAACUACAGCCAUAUCCCUCCACACUGAUGGAGGGGUUCUACACACCCCUUCCUCCAACCACCUCCAUAUCUCUCCACACUGAUGGAGGGGUUCUACACGCCCCUUCCUCCAACCACCUCCAUAUCUCUCCACACUGAUGGAGCCCCUUCCUCCAACUACAGCCAUAUCCCUCCACACUGAUGGAGGGGUUCUACACGCCCCUUCCUCCAACUACAGCCAUAUCUCUCCACACUGAUGGAGGGGUUCUACACGCCCCUUCCUCCAACCACCUCCAUAUCUCUCCACACUGAUGGAGCCCCUUCCUCCAACUACAGCCAUAUCUCUCCACACUGAUGGAGCCCCUUCCUCCAACUACAGCCAUAUCUCUCCACACUGAUGGAGCCCCUUCCUCCAACUACAGCCAUAUCUCUCCACACUGAUGGCAAAUAUGCACUUCAUGAACAGGAUUGUUUCUUACCAUUGGACGUACCAGAGGUGAUAUGUGGUUGCCUGACUAGCACCAUCCAUGUUGGCCCUGGGAAACGUAUCAUCCUCGUAGGAAUAAAUGGUCUCUACAAUGUCACAGUGCCUGUGCUGACCUGCACAACCUGUCUCAGCACCUGGACAGCAAACUUGGCAGAUCUGAUAAAGAAUGGGUACUGGCCAGCCACCGUCAACUGUGACAGCAUAUACCAGAACGGAAUGAUCUGUGGGGACACUUUUCAAAAAAGCUUCUUUGAGUGGACGUACUGCCGCUCUGAAAUUGAUCAGGUCUGUGAUAUACAGUACUUUGACUGCCCAGCCUGUUCACCCAGCAUGCUUGUCUCCUGGACUGUCACCUUGAUGUAGUGGAGAGGCUUGCGUACUCCAGUGACCCUGAGAGCUAACCCCACCGGCAGGUGCAAUCAAGCCGGACAGGUGGAAGGAGGAAACAGCUGAGAACAUGGAUGGUCCCCAGGUACGACAGAGAACAACUGAACUCCUGUUUCUGAGCAUCAAACAAAGGAAACAGAACCUCUACUGUCAGACAGAAAAGACACCCUCUGCGCAGAAAGAUAUUGGAAGAAAAGGCCAAAUUGACAGCUGCCAUAGAGGAGUACAACACCCUUGUACCAAAUUCAGCAAUACCAUCUGCAGAUGAGAUCUUUUCUGCAGACCUUCAUGCAUGGCCUUGGGAGCUGCAUGGACAAACUGACCUACUCACAAAGAAAACAGCCUUUGACCGGGUGAUGCUCCUGAGACGGCUGAAGGAGGAGGAGUUAAUUGUCCUAAAGGAAGUCAAGCAGCACUGGGAAAGCCUAAAGAGGGAAUCGGAGAAUGUGCAAGGCCUUGCUUCACAUGUGGCACCUGACCUAAGCAGGCAAAGCUGGCAAUUGAAUCAGUCGGAAGCUGGGAGCAGAGGUCUCUUCUCCAUGCUUCAGAGGAGAGUCAGCAGCCUCAGAAGACACCAGGACUCUGUCAAACUGAUAUACAGCAAAGCUAUGGGCCAAGACACCUCCCUCCUAGAAAAUAACUUGGGGGUUGUCCCAUCCUGAACAGGCCAGUUGCAAGUGACAUACUCUUAACGAUAAUAUUAGCAACACCGUAUUAUUAUUAAAAUUUGAUGGGAAAAAAUGAAAGUUAUGCAGGCAGGUCUGACAUAGUGGGAGAAUUGUGAACAUGCACGUAUAUAUCUGUGUUGUCACAGCGUUUGGCCACGUCGUCGGUUUGGUCGUUCGGUCAGAGUUUGUUUUGGUUAUGUGCGUCGCAAUGCCCGUGACGUAAUAGACUAUGUUUCUGAAUUUUCUGAUUACAUUUUUAAACUAUUCAUAAAUUAUGCUUGCGCAAUGUUACUUUCAUUUGAAUGUCGUAAACAUUGUCGGAUUCUAUUAAAUAAUUGGUGUAACAGAUAAAUUCUUAUGUUACAAAACCCGGAAAAGUUGUGAACUACAAAUGUGGCGCCAUUUUGUAGUUUAUUUUACUAACGCUAACCGGUUUGUUUUUUAUCAAUAUCUUCGCCAAUAUCAUUCUAAUUGAUGUGUAGAAUGAUACGUACAUUCAUUAGGACAUACAUAACACCGUACUGCAUCAGCACAUGCCAAUUCAAUGUCUGAAGUAGUGCACUUUUUGAAAUGUGUUUUUCGGCAUAACUAUUUAAGUUUGACAUGUGUGAUUCUUUUGAUUUAAUAAGGACCCCUUACUAAACCUUCACGUCAAAUAACGUUUGGAUAUGUUCAUCUAUUCUUGAUUAAAUAAAAUCAUCAAAGUUUGGGGAAAGGUCAACUGUUGGUGGCGCUACUGAGCACCCCAUGGCCACCAGGUAUAUGGGAUUGCAUAAUUAUGUUUAAUUCAUGCACAAAAAACCCAACAAAAACAUAUUUUUGGGGGACUCUAUGACGAGAGAUGAACUCUUACAAAUGUUUCCUAGGGGUGUAUAAAGGUUCAUGGCAGAAAACAAGUGUAUGUAUAGAAAUGCUUAUAUAAACAUUGUUACAUCGAUAUUGAUGCUUCUAGAAGUUCAAAAAUAGACACUCAACAGUCUAUAUGUGGCCUUUCAACCCCUAUACCCAUUACCCACAAGGCUGCAUAACCCCACCUCUAUUGCCAUGGUCCCCGGCACAUCAUAUUCCUAAUAAGCAACAAUUAUGAAAAUUAAUUCUCACUGCCUAUUAAAAAAAAAAACAGUUGUGAAAUUAUUUUGCUUUCACCUUCAUUAAAUAUUUUCCGUGGACAGCCAGCCUGGAGACCAAGCAGAUAGAUAGACCAAGCAGAUGCCUCUAUGCGCUAAACAUGUUGCAUGCCAAUAUGACUCAGGGGUAGGCCUAUAUCCAACAUAUUUAAUGCAGGUAAAGUAAUAUAUGUAAUAGCAUUAUAUAUACUGUAUAUACAAUCCAUAUGUGUGUAAGCUAUGCUGAUACACAUGUAGUCCUAUGUAUUAUAAUAUACUUUGAUAUGAAUUGUGAAGUUCAAGGUCAGUCGGCCAAAAUGCUACAUUCUCAUCACUUUUGAUGAUUCUUGUCUCAUUACUGAGACAUUCACUAAGUACUACAGUUGAUCAGCCCAAUCCACUGCUCAUAUCUAAUGUAUGCACACUGUACUAUGUGCCUAGUCCGCUUGUCAAAAGUAGUGCACUUUCCAAGGGAAUAGGGUGGCAUUUGGAAAGAAAGGAUCCAGUUCCUUUAUCCAUUGAACUAACAGUCUUCCAGUAGAAAGACAGAAGGAAACAAGUGACCUUUAAGUCUCAGAUUUGCAUUAAUUUGUUCCAAACAGAACGUUGUAGCUUUACUAUAUUGGAAAAGGCCCAGGUAAAAUGAAGAACUGUGUAUGUUAACCUGUGCGCCUUUUCUAAUAGUGCGCCGGCGUUUUC